rnacentral:rRNA from 1 species
AUUGAACGCUGGCGGCAGGCCUAACACAUGCAAGUCGAACGAGUGGCGGACGGGUGAGUAAUGUCUGGGAAACUGCCUGAUGGAGGGGGAUAACUACUGGAAACGGUAGCUAAUACCGCAUACCAUCAGAUGUGCCCAAAUGGCAUUAUCUAGUUGGUGGGGUAACGGCUCACCAAGGCGACGAUCCCUAGCUGGUCUGAGAGGAUGAACGGCCACACCGGAACGGAGACACGGUCCGGACCACUACGGGAGGCAGCAGGGGGGAAUAUUGCACAAUGGGAGCAGUCCGGAUGCAGCCAUGCCGCGUGUAUGCAGGAGGCCUUCGGGUUGUGAGGUACUGUCGGCGGGGGGGCGUUACCCUCAGAAGAAGCACCGGCUAACUCCGUGCCAGCAGCCGCGGUAAUUC